rnacentral:misc_RNA from 1 species
UCCGAUUUGUCACCGGCAGUCUCCCUAGAGUCCCCGACAUAACUCGCUGGCAACUAGGGACAGGGGUUGCGCUCGUUGCGCCACUUAAGGCAACACCUCACGGCACGAGCUGACGACAGCCAUGCACCACCUGUGCAGGCUCCGAAGAGCGCCCGCUUUCACGGGUUUCACCCUGCAUGUCAAGCCCAGGUAAGGUUCUUCGCGUUGCAUCGAAUUAAGCAACAUGCUCCGCCGCUUGUGCGGGGCCCCGUCAAUUCCUUUGAGUUUUAACCUUGCGGCCGUACUCCCCAGGCGGGACACUUAAUGCGUUAGCGUCGGCACGGAAGGUGGGGAUGACGUGCCACGCAAUAACA